GACGAACGCUGGCGGCGUGGAUUAGGCAUGCAAGUCGAACGGUAGGAUACCUUCGGGUAUCUGAGAGUGGCGAACUGGUGAGUAACACGUAGGUUAUCUACCCUCAAGACGGGGGACAACCCAGGGAAACUUGGGCUAAUACCGGAUGUGAGCAACUUUUAGUUGUUUGAAAGGUGGCGUAAGCUGUCGCUUGGGGAUGAGCCUGCGUCCUAUUAGUUAGUUGGUGAGGUAACGGCUCACCUAGGCAAUGAUAGGUAGGCGGCCUUAACGGGUGGUCGCCCACACUGGGAUUGAGAUACGGCCCAGACUCCUACGGGAGGCAGCAGUCGAGAAUAGUCUACAAUGGUCGGAAGACUGAUAGUGCGACGCCGCGUGAACGAUGAAUCCCUUCGGGGUGUAAAGUUCUUUUAUAUGUGAGCAGUGCUUCUUAUAUUAACAGUAUGGGGAGAGAGAUAUUAGCAUAUGAAUAAGCAACGGCUAACUCCGUGCCAGCAGCCGCGGUAAAACGU
rnacentral:rRNA from 1 species